rnacentral:rRNA from 1 species
ACGGGUGAGUAACACGUGGGCAACCUACCUUAUCGACUGGGAUAACUCCGGGAAACCGGGGCUAAUACCGGAUAACAUCUAGCACCUCCUGGUGCCGGAUUAAAAGAGGGCUUCUUGCUCUCACGAUGAGAUGGGCCCGCGGCGCAUUAGCUAGUUGGAGAGGUAAUGGCUCCCCAAGGCGACGAUGCGUAGCCGACCUGAGAGGGUGAUCGGCCACACUGGGACUGAGACACGGCCCAGACUCCUACGGGAGGCAGCAGUAGGGAAUCUUCCGCAAUGGACGAAAGUCUGACGGAGCAACGCCGCGUGAGUGAUGAAGGGUUUCGGCUCGUAAAGCUCUGUUAUGAGGGAAGAACACGUACCGUUCGAAUAGGGCGGUACCUUGACGGUACCUCAUCAGAAAGCCACGGCUAACUACGUGCCAGCAGCCGCGGUAAUACGUAGGUGGCAAGCGUUGUCCGGAAUUAUUGGGCGUAAAGCGCGCGCAGGCGGCCUUUUAAGUCUGAUGUGAAAUCUUGCGGCUCAACCGCAAGCGGCCAUUGGAAACUGGGAGGCUUGAGUACAGAAGAGGAGAGUGGAA